CACUGUUUUUCACUGUUCGUGAACAGUAAAAUGACGGAAAUGCCUUCCAAAUUUUUCCCAUCAGCAGUAUCUUUUAGCUUUUCUACAGUACAUUGACGAUUCUGCCUUUGAACACCACGCGUCUGUCAUUGGUGGUUCUUCCACUCCAUUUCUACUCCGCCUUUUCUUUGGGUUCCCUUCUCUCUCUCUCUCUCACCAUUUUCAGCUUUUCCUUAUUUUGGAGCCUAGGUUUUUUCUCUCUCCCACGCCUUCGUUGUUUUCGCUAUCCGUCCUUCACGUCUUUGUCUCGUCGAUUAUUCACGGCCGUUUUCUUCUCGGAAAACUAACGAUCUCUGGUGAGUUUUUUUGCAGUUCUUGCCGUGUCUCAUUUCAAUUUUUUUUUUCGUUGUUUGAGUGUGGCUUUGCGAUGCGGUUUGAUUUUUGGUUUCAGGAAAAGUUAUCGAUGCGAUCUAAGGUGUUUUGGUGAGUUUUCUGCUUUUCUGAUUGUAUGUUGUUUGAUUCUUUUUUCGUGCUUUGGGUCUGCCUUUCUGAUCUGCUUUCAUAUUUGGUUUUAGCAAAAGAAGUUGUUUGAAUUUUGGCCUUUCUGUCUGCAACCUUGCAAGCUGUUUGCGAUCAAGGUAUUUAACUUUUUUUUUUUUUUUUUGGUGUUGGUUCUUUCUCCGAUGAUGGUUUGUUUGACUGGUCAGAAACUGAAAUAAAUAAAUUAUGAGAUUUAAACUGAAUUAUGCUUCAUUUAAUUAAAUCUUUGGUUUUGUUGGGUUGUCAUUGUUUGCCCUGUUCUAAACUUAUAUGUCUUGGGUUGUCAAUUUUUUUCGGUUGUCAUUUUUUCCUUUUAUUUUCUGCUGGAAGCACUAUUAUAUUCAUGCUAAUUUUGAUGAAAAGGAAAUGUGUGUUUAAUUGAAGGAUUAAAUAUGUAUGAAGCAGGACAUAGUAUGCUAUAAUACAUUUUUCCUUUUAUUCUCUGUUUCUUCGUUGUCAAUUUCAUAGGAUUUGGGUUUGGGCAGAUCAAUCCUGCAAACCGCUUCAAUAACAUGUCUUGGAACUCAAUUGGCCACUAUCAGCGCAACCUCCAUAUUCUUGGUAAAACACCAGAACCAAUCAUCUCAUGGCUUGAAAAGGAGGGAAAGACUAAUCCAGGGCCAUGACAUAGCAUUAACUCAUCAGACAUAAUCAACGUUUGGAAAUGCUUUGUCUAUUUUUUUAUUUGAUUAACAAUUCAAACUUAUCUUUAUAUUUAUUAGUAUCUUGAUUUCCUUGACAAUUCAACCAUAUCUUUUUUGUGUUUCUGUUUUUCUGGGUGUUUAAUUUUAUUUGAAUUUCUUAAUUUGUUCAAAGGAUGCUUUGGUUAGUGGCCAUCUUAUUUAAUUAUUUUUUUUUCUUUUGGUUUUUUAGCACCAAUGGUAUUGGUGAAUGGUGAAGAGGUUUGUAUGGGUUCAUAUAUCUUAAACAUGUAGUGAGAAGUGAGGGUUUUGUUUUAGUAUUUUAGAUAAUUUGAGGAACAUGUAGAUACUAUGAUUUGUGGUUGCUUUCUUAAACCAUGAUAAAGCAGUCCAUGUAAUUUUAACAUAGAUAUAAUUUUUUAUCUAAUGCAUGAGUAUAUGAAAUGUUAAUACGAUAAGAUUUAAAAUGCAAAGAGAGACAAUGAACCAUGUUUGAUAUUUUGUUUGUGUUGGUUGUUUUAAAUUUGAGCUUUUUUGAGUUGGAUUUAUGUGUUUUGUUUAAGAUAUCAUUUUUGGUUUAUGAAUGGUUUGCCAGUGCAAAAGUUUGCAUAUUUUUUUAUGGUUGGAUUCAUGGGUUGUCUUAAGCUUUGAAGUUCUUAGUUUUUAUCAAGAAAUUUAAUUUGGGUUUCAUUUAUUUGUGAAACUAGCACUUUUUUUGUGAAGAUUUUCAGUAAAUGAUUGCUUAUUUGGCUUUAAAUUUGAUCUCUUUAAAUUUCCAGGUUGUCCUAGACUUUUUCAACAGUGCAGAGUUGUCUUCGGCAGAACUCGAUAGCAACUCUAGGUCAGUCUGAAUUGCCAGUAGAUAUGAUUUUUCUUUAAUUUAUUCAUCUUCUUUCGAAUUUAUGUGCAAAUAUUUUUGAAGCCCAAGUGUAAAGUAUAAGUGUGGGUGUGGACACCCAAUAUGACUUUUACAUGGUGUUGCUAUCUUCUAUUUGACAGAAUUAUAUUGGGGACUGUCUAAAUUUUGGUUUUAGCUGCAGAUGAAGCGAAAUCAAAAGGUUAUAAAUUAGA
rnacentral:lncRNA from 1 species